rnacentral:lncRNA from 1 species
CGCAACUCACCCUUCUCUCUUUACCCUCUUCCUUUCUCUCUAUCAAACUUCGGUCAACCAUGACCAGUGAUAGUUCAUCAACGCCGAUGAAACCCCAAAACUAGCUCCGCUCCCCUUGAAAAAAUGUCUAAUGAACCAGUCAGCCACCAUCCACCGCUACCAACGACAACAUCAACUCCAGCGAACCCUCUACUUUCACCAUCUCUGGCGAACUUAGUAACCAGCAGCCGGCACCGCCCCUCUAUCAAAGCAGUGGCCAUAGUUGUCGCUACUGCUCCAUUCUUCUCUCUCCACCAGCAAACUGACAGUCGCCUCACUUCGCCGUCUCCGAGCUCCAGUCAAACAUCGCCGAAAAACACUAAAGUUCAUGACAGCUUUUUUGAAUACAUCCCAAGUUUUUUUUGACACAAUGAGUUUUUUUAGGAUGAAUUUAGUUAGCCGUCAAUCAUUCUCAAGUCCGAUGUAUGUCUUGUGAUUGGGUCCGUAUCUUCGAUUCAAAAUUAAUGGGGUGCACAGUUAUGCUCAAUUUUGAACUUUGUCCAGUGUGGUAUUUGCUUGCUAAAUGUGAUAAUUUGAUUUGUUUUUCUCAUUAGAAUUGAAAUUGUGUGAUAGCUAUUUGUUAAAAUUGUGAUGUCAUUUGUAAUUGAUUCUAGCUGGGCUAUAAUUGGUUUUCUUCUCUCAUUUUUACUUCUCUAUUAAUGGUAAACGUAAUUGAUUGAUUCACUAUAUUUAGUUAAGGAAAUUUGGAUUGAUUGAUAUUUUGUCUUUCCUUUUAUCUAUUUUGACUGAUUUUAUAUUAUUAAGUGUGAUUUUUACAUUUAAGAAAAAUAUCGUUGAUAUAUUACAUCAACUAUUCUUCUUCCCUUUUAUCAUUGUGAUCCCUUCACUAUAUAAAGGCCACCCCUCAUUUGUAUUCAGACACCUUUUAUCAUCCCUUCUAUCCUCUCUUUACAAAAAUAAGAAAACAUAAUUGCAUUCUCCUCUUUUAUGGCUUAACAUCAUCAACUCGCAAGACAUAUAUUCUCAAUUGCUGCUUUGGGGAUUGACUGGCUUCUAUUGAUUCUAUUCAAGGCUAUAGUUUUCUUCUUCAUUCUUUCCCAGUUUGAUUUUGCGUCUUUGUUUUUACGCUUAAGUGGUAUGUUUUUUUUUUCAUAAUACCUUUAAGUAUUGAUCGUCACAAAUUAUUUGUUUGUGGCUCUUACAAAUAAUGUUCUUGAUAUGGUAUCUAUAAUCUGUCACUUUGUUUAUCUUGUUCACAUUGACUUGACUAUUGUAAUAUUUGUAACAUGUUCUCGGGGUGAAUUUAUUCGUUGGUUGUGAAAACAUGUUUAUAAGGAUAACAUGAACAUUAAAACUUCUUUGAAUGAGUUCUAUUAGUUGGUUCUUUUGUGCACUUUGAUCAUGCUAACAUACUUAUGGAAGAAAGUUAAAUUCGAAGGGUCUCUGGGCUUUUGGGGAGGACGGAC